CCUACGGGAGGCAGCAGUGGGGAAUAUUGGGCAAUGGGCGCAAGCCUGACCCAGCAACGCCGCGUGAAGGAAGAAGGCUUUCGGGUUGUAAACUUCUUUUCUCAGGGACGAAGCAAGUGACGGUACCUGAGGAAUAAGCCACGGCUAACUACGUGCCAGCAGCCGCGGUAAUACGUAGGUGGCAAGCGUUAUCCGGAUUUACUGGGUGUAAAGGGCGUGUAGGCGGGAAAGCAAGUCAGAUGUGAAAACCAUGGGCUCAACCUGUGGCCUGCAUUUGAAACUGUUUUUCUUGAGUACUGGAGAGGCAGACGGAAUUCCUAGUGUAGCGGGGAAAUGCGUAGAGAUUAGGAGGAACACCAGUGGCGAAGGCGGUCUGCUGGACAGCAACUGACGCUGAGGCGCGAAAGCGUGGGGAGCAAACAGGAUUAGAUACCCGAGUAGUC
rnacentral:rRNA from 1 species